rnacentral:rRNA from 1 species
UUUAAAUAAAUUAUUAUUAAAAAUUAUUUAAAAUAUUAAAUGUUAAAACAUUAAAGUUAAAAGAUUUGGCGGUAUUUUGAAAAAUUAGAGGAAUUUGUAGUGUAAAUGAUAGUACACGAUAAGAAAAACUUUUUAUUUAUUUAUGUAUUGCUGUUUUAAAUAAUUUAUUGAAUAAAUUUUGAGAGGGUUAAUUUUAAAAAAAAUAAUUCAAGUCAAAAUGUAGUAUUUUAAAGAAUUAAAUGAAUUACAAUUUUUUAUAUAUUGAAUUAAUAAAAUUUAAUUUUAUUAUGAAAUUGGAUUUAAAAGUAAAUUUAAAUUAAUUAAUUUAUUUGAAUAUUUUUUAAGAUAAGU